CCUCACAGGGUUGGGGAUUAAAAGUUGUAGUCCAUUCCUUAUAAUUCCAGGAGGUAGGAAAAAAUAAGUAAAUAAAAUGAGAAAUAAAGUUUUAAUCCCGGGCCCACAAAAAGGACCCUGGAAAACUCUCCACUUUUUGGGUUGAGACCUCAAAAGACCAAACUCUACAAGAUAAAUUGAAAACAGACCAUUCAUUGCUCAGAAACUGCUCAGAUAUGAGUCAUCUCAAUCACUAAAAUUAGUUUGAUUAUCUCAGAUUGCUAGAGCCCCUAGAUGCCUUCCAGAAACAAAUGUAUAUCCAUUCUGUAGAAGGAAAACGUACCCCUAGACCUCCAAUUAUUUCUAAAAAUAUUUUUCAAACACAAUGCCUAUCAUAUAAUCAGAAAUAACCAGGCACAUGAAGAGAAUAAUAAGGGAGUAAUAACAAUCAAGAAUUUUACAAAAUUAAUAACAGGCAACAAACCACAGAUCCAAGAGUCUCAGAUAGCACCAAGCAGGAUAAAUGCCAAGUAAUAAUCUAUAUCUAUAGAUUAUUAUAUUCAAACUGCAGAAAAUCGAAGACAAAAUCUUGAAAGGAGCCA
rnacentral:lncRNA from 1 species